CACCACCUGGACAUCACUGGGCUCCCUGUGUGUUAAAGCUUCCUGAGGUCAGAGGAAGAGGAAGCACAGAAAAUGGAGGAGGGACUUCUUACAGGAGAGAACCAGAGCACUGAUCCUUUCCUGGACAUUUCAUAGAAAUGGAAUCACACCCUAUGUGGUCUUUGCAUCUGACUUCUUCACAAAAGUGUAAUGUUUUGGAGGUUUACCCGUGCCAUAAUGAGGGAAAUGGAGGCGUCACCCGUCACUCACCCAAGGUUGCAGCAAGAGAUGGUGAAGGUCUGAUGGAAGGCAGUGACCACAAGCAUGGACAGGUAUUUGAGGGAGAAUCGGCAGCACUUGGAGGCAGCUGGCUGUGGGGAGGAGGGGAAGCUGAGGCUUCCCGCACAUCAUGGGUGGGAUGUAGGAGGAGACAGAGCAGGUUGGAGGGGAAGAUAAUGAGCUCAGGCUUCCAGCUGCCCAGAUGUCUCCAAGCCGCUCUCUUGAGAAAUGGUGUUUAUUACAUGACAAUGUCUAUAAUUUGGCUUCCGGCAUGACUCGAUAAUUAGCUUAAGUUAUCCUUCUUUGGCAUUUCAUUCAAAGCAAGGACACUCUUACAUUCAUUCUGAUGAGACCUGUUUUCCAUUCGAGGUACAGGAUGACAGUGAGCCUAGAGCCCUACAGUCUGUCUCCUGGCUCGAGUGGGUCAGAGACUGAAGCCAGUGGAUGGGCUGUCUGUCCUCUCAGCUAGCAUCUGUCUGCCUCUGGGGCUUAGAGGUGUGGAUGCCCCUCUGAUAGGGAGCCGCCUGCGGGUGGGGUCCUGGAACCUGAACAUUCCGUGCCCAGCAGAAGUGUAGCCCAGAGAUCGGUUCCAAGAGCCACUGGGAGGUACAGUGAGGAGAAAGAUGGUUAACAGAAGUCCACUGGGAGGCACCUGCCGAGGUUGCCACAGGGAUGCUUAGGGCUGGAAGGGGGCUGCGUUUAGGGAAACUUUGAUUUAAGAGGUAUUUACAAGGCAGGUUUUAUGAGACUUGGGGGCUGAUUCACAGGAGGAGGGAGAGAGAUAAAGAUUCGAGAAGGACCCUCACGUUUCUUUCUCAGGAGAGAGAGGAGGCUAUUAACUGAAG